rnacentral:rRNA from 1 species
CACGUAGGGCGCAAGCGUUGUCCGGAAUUAUUGGGCGUAAAGAGCUCGUAGGCGGUCUGUUGCGUCCGCUGUGAAAACCCGGGGCUUAACCCCUGGCUUGCAGUGGAUACGGACAGACUAGAGGUAGGUAGGGGAGAAUGGAAUUCCCGGUGUAGCGGUGAAAUGCGCAGAUAUCGGGAGGAACACCGGUGGCGAAGGCGGCGACCUGGUCCGAUACUGACGCUGAGGCGCGAAAGCGUGGGGAGCAAACAG